CUUUCAACAACGGAUCUCUUGGCUCUCGCAUCGAUGAAGAACGCAGCGAAAUGCGAUAAGUAAUGUGAAUUGCAGAAUUCAGUGAAUCAUCGAAUCUUUGAACGCACCUUGCGCCCCUUGGUAUUCCGAAGGGCAUGCCUGUUUGAGUGU
rnacentral:rRNA from 1 species